UGGGGAAUUUUGGACAAUGGGGGCAACCCUGAUCCAGCAAUGCCGCGUGAGUGAAGAAGGCCUUCGGGUUGUAAAGCUCUUUUGUCAGGGAAGAAACAGCAGCUCUAACACAGUCUGCGAAUGACGGUACCUGAAGAAUAAGCACCGGCUAACUACGUGCCAGCAGCCGCGGUAAUACGUAGGGUGCGAGCGUUAAUCGGAAUUACUGGGCGUAAAGCGUGCGCAGGCGGUUAUAACAGACAGGCGGGG
rnacentral:rRNA from 1 species